GAACAAGAUCAGUCUGAUAUGCAGAUUGAUCCUCCCAGUGAUGCAGGUGACGAGCAAGAGAUUUACCCAGAAAUUGCUGAUGAAUCACAAUCUAGCCCUUUUUUAUUUGAAAUUGCAAGCAAAGUGUUUGCUUCCAUCUUCUGUCAUCCAGACAAUUAUUGAAGAUUUUCAGGAAAUACACGAUAUAAGCCAGUCACAUUUGCUUUUCAAACUAAAAGAGAAGUUGAUUACACUUGGGAUUUCUGAAGCUGAUACAAACAAUGUGAUUGAAGUCAUGAAAACUGAGGAUCUCUUUAGGACCUGCAACACCCAGCCACUGAAAACUGAUCAGAAAAGAAAAACAGUUUUCAAGAACAGCUUCAACUAUGUUGAGCCAGUUCAGAUCUGUUUAGGUCAGAAUGAGGCAGGCAAAGAGUGUUUUGCCCAGUAUGUUCCUAUUAAACAGACAAUUGAUUCUCUAUUCCAUUGCCAAUCAGUGCAGGAACAAUAUAAGCAAGUACACUCCAGAAUUGGUUGUAAGGAUAUUCUUAAAGAUGUGUGGGAUGGCAGAAAUAUGGCGGAAAAUGUGCUCUUCCAGAUGGAGAGCUCAUCAAUGAGCUUGAUCCUGUAUCAGGAUGCAUUUGAAGUGGUAAACCCACUAGGAUCUGGAAAGAAAAAACACAAGAUACUUGCAGUGUAUCUAACUCUUGCAGAUUUAAUGCCACACAACAGAUCCAGCACUGAUCAAAUGCAACUUGUUCUUCUCUGUAAAGAACACGAUUUUAAGUAUUUUGGUCAAGACUUGGUUAUGGGAACCCUCGUCAAUGACCUUAAAGAUCUUGAGCUCAAUGGUGUUACACUGUCUGAUGGAAAGGUUUACAAGGGAACUUUGUGUGCCAUUGCAGGCGACAACCUGGGCUCACAUAACAUAGGAGGCUUUGUGGAGAACUUCAGCAGGAGUUCACACUUCUGCAGAUAUUGUGAUAUCAGCAGAGAAGCAUUCCAUGCAGAUCCUCUUAUCCAUGGCACAAAACGCACAGUGCAGUCAUACAGUGGUCAUGUUCAGAGCAGUGAAGGACAGUCUACAUAUAGUGGAGGUGUUAAAUUUGUCUCUGUGUUUAAUACGCUCAAAUACUUCCAUGUAUGUCAGCCAGGGUUGCCUCCAUGUCUUGGUCAC
rnacentral:lncRNA from 1 species